GAUGAACGCUGGCGGCGUGCCUAAUACAUGCAAGUCGAGCGAACAGACGAGGAGCUUGCUCCUUUGACGUUAGCGGCGGACGGGUGAGUAACACGUGGAUAACCUACCUAUAAGACUGGGAUAACUUCGGGAAACCGGAGCUAAUACCGGAUAACAUGUUGAACCGCAUGGUUCAACAGUGAAAGACGGUUUUGCUGUCACUUAUAGAUGGAUCCGCGCCGCAUUAGCUAGUUGGUAAGGUAACGGCUUACCAAGGCAACGAUGCGUAGCCGACCUGAGAGGGUGAUCGGCCACACUGGAACUGAGACACGGUCCAGACUCCUACGGGAGGCAGCAGUAGGGAAUCUUCCGCAAAGGGCGAAAGCCUGACGGAGCAACGCCGCGUGAGUGAAGAAGGUCUUCGGAUCGUAAAACUCUGUUAUUAGGGAAGAACAAAUGUGUAAGUAACUAUGCACGUCUUGACGGUACCUAAUCAGAAAGCCACGGCUAACUACGUG
rnacentral:rRNA from 1 species